UUGAACUCAGAUCAUCUGACUCCAAAAUGCAUGCUCUUUCUCCGCAGCUCACUGUCAUGUCUUGCUUCUUUCGACUCUAGGUACUGCCAACAAGAAGGCCCAAUCAUGAUCCUCCCACAACAAGAGCAGAUUGUGAGUGUGACAAGCUCUAUGCUGAGCACUGGAAGGACAAGGAGAGAUUGGGCACAGACUUCUCACUGAUGCAGAGUGUGGCAGCUUUCAUCAGGAAGCGAUGGUGGGGAACAGCAUCUCUGGCGGAGGCAAGCAGCAGGUGCAGAGGUGCAGAGGCGUCUGUCACGUUCUGGGAAGGGAGUAUGGUUGGGUGGCAAUGUAAGAUGGAGAAAGCA